UCCGGCUUGUCACCGGCAGUCUCAUUAGAGUGCCCAACUGAAUGUAGCAACUAAUGACAAGGGUUGCGCUCGUUGCGGGACUUAACCCAACAUCUCACGACACGAGCUGACGACAGCCAUGCAGCACCUGUGUUCCGAUUCCCUUUCGGGCACACCCAAAUCUCUCUAGGCUUUCGGACAUGUCAAGGGUAGGUAAGGUUUUUCGCGUUGCAUCGAAUUAAUCCACAUAAUCCACCGCUUGUGCGGGUCCCCGUCAAUUCCUUUGAGUUUUAACCUUGCGGCCGUACUCCCCAGGCGGUCGACUUAACGCGUUAGCUGCGACACUGUGGACCAUAUGUCCCCAACGUCUAGUUGUCAUCGUUUAUGGCGUGGACUAC
rnacentral:misc_RNA from 1 species